CAAGAGCAGCAGAGUGAGGCUCUGCUCCCCACUCGGGCUUCAGAAAGCCCUGCUUCCCCAGGCAGGGAAGUGGGUGGGGAUGGGGCCGGGGAAGGAAAAGGCAGCACAGGAAUCUGUAACCACAGGAUGAUGCUUCUGCGACAGCGAGUGGGCCUCUCAGUGAACCCAGCGCUCAGGGAUUCAGAUAGGCUCGGCUGCCUGUCUCUGCCUCCCCAGGCCUGGGAUUACAGAUGCGUGCCCUGUUCCCACGCAGGCUCCUGCAGCCUUCAGAAGCUCAUGUAUCCCAGACUGGCUUUGAACUCACUACACAGCCGAGGAAGAUGGCCCUGAACUUCCUCUCAUCUCGUCUUCAUUCCCAGCGGUCACAGAUGUAUUGGCAGGUGAACCCAGAGCUUCCUGUCUGUUUGGCAAACCUUCUACCGGCCGAGCUACCUGGCUACCCACGCAACCUCCCUCUGUAGCCCUGGCUACCCUGGAACUCACAGAGAUCCUCCUGCCUCUGCCUAUUAAAUACUGGCAUUACGGGCUCAUGCCACCGUGCCUGCCUUUGUCUUCUAGCUUGGAGGUGAGAGGCAUGUUUGUUGUAGCACUGGGGUUUGAACCCCUAUCUCAGAGCACACUAGAUGUGUACUCUUGUCUUCGUUCCCCAUUAGUUCAAGACAGGGUCUCAAUAAGCUGCCGUUGCAGGCCUUAAACUCUUAGAUUCCACCUCAGAUACAAUUACGUGCCUGCGCCAUCAGUUUGGUUUGAAAAUAGUCUCCCUGCACAGCCUGGGCUCACCUCAAAUUCACUAUGGAAUGGGUGUGGCUUUGAACUCUUGAUCCUUGUGCCUCUCUCACUCAAAUUCUAGGAUUAGAGCUGUAUGGAACA